CUGGAAUCCACUCGAGCCCGCUUGGUGCAUAGUCAGCCUGCAACGCUUCCGAGUGAGUGGUUCUUUGGGCGUUUAGACAGGCCUUUGAGGCUCCCUCUCUGAGUCUUUAAUCCUCCCAGCGCCGCCUGACAGGUGGAGGAAAUGUUGACGUCUGGGCUCACCUUAUCUUGCUGCCCUCCUCGUGUUUCCCGUGUCAUAGUAACAGAGCAGAUGUCAGAGCUGUUGCUAAGGGUCCCCUCGGAUAUUAAUACCUUGUGUUGGACGAAGGGCUCCCACACAGUGUCUUCGAGGCCUCGGGAAGCACCGGCUCGGUG
rnacentral:lncRNA from 1 species